rnacentral:rRNA from 1 species
CCUACGGGUGGCAGCAGUAGGGAAUCUUCCACAAUGGGCGAAAGCCUGAUGGAGCAACGCCGCGUGGGUGAAGAAGGUCUUCGGAUCGUAAAACCCUGUUGUUAGAGAAGAAAGUGAGGGAGUGUAACUGUUCACGUUUCGACGGUAUCGAACCAGAAGGCCACGGCUAACUACGUGCCAGCAGCCGCGGUAAUACGAAGGUGGCAAGCGUUAGCCGGAUUUAUUGGGCGUAAAGGGAACGCAGGCGGUCUUUUAAGUCUGAUGUGAAAGCCUUCGGCUUAACCGGAGUAGUGCAUUGGAAACUGGGAGACUUGAGUGCAGAAGAGGAAAGUGGAACGCCAUGUGUAGCGGUGAAAUGCGUAGAUAUAUGGAAGAACACCAGUGGCGAAGGCGACCCUCUGGUCUGUAACUGACGCUGAUGUUCGAAAGCGUGGGUAGCAAACAGGAUUAGAUACCCGGGUAGUC